UACAGAGGGGGCAAGCGUUAUUCGGAAUUAUUGGGCGUAAAGGGCGCGUAGGCGGCCUGGCAAGUGGAAGGUGAAAUCCCUCGGCUUAACCGAGGAACUGCCCUCCAAACUGCUUGGCUUGAGUCCGGGAGAGUUGAGUGGAAUUCCCAGUGUAGCGGUGAAAUGCGUAGAUAUUGGGAGGAACACCAGUGGCGAAGGCGGCUCACUGGACCGGAACUGACGCUGAGGCGCGAAAGCGUGGGUAGCAAACAGG
rnacentral:rRNA from 1 species